rnacentral:rRNA from 1 species
UAAGCCAUGCAAGUCGAACGAGUUUAGACUCGUGGCGUACGGCUCAGUAACACGUGGAUAACCUACCCUUAGGACUGGGAUAACCUUGGGAAACUGAGGCUAAUACCGGAUAGGCAAUUUUUCCUGUAAUGGUUUUUUGUUUAAAUGUUUUUUCGUCUAAGGAUGGGUCUGCGGCCGAUUAGGUAGUUGGUUAGGUAAUGGCUUACCAAGCCGUUGAUCGGUACGGGUUGUGAGAGCAAGAGCCCGGAGAUGGAACCUGAGACAAGGUUCCAGGCCCUACGGGGUGCAGCAGGCGCGAAACCUCCGCAAUGUGAGAAAUCGCGACGGGGGGAUCCCAAGUGCCAUUCUUAACGGGAUGGCUUUUCAUUAGUGUAAAGAGCUUUUGGAAUAAGGGCUGGGCAAGGCCGGUGCCAGCCGCCGCGGUAACACCGGCAGCUCUAGUGGUAGCAAUUUUUAUUGGGCCUAAAGCGUCCGUAGCCGGUUUAAUAAGUCUCUGGUGAAAUCCUGUAGCUUAACUGUGGGAAUUGCUGGAGAUACUAUUAGACUUGAGACCGGGAGAGGUUAGAGGUACUCCCAGGGUAGAGGUGAAAUUCUGUAAUCCUGGGAGGACCGCCUGUUGCGAAGGCGUCUAACUGGAACGGUUCUGACGGUGAGGGACGAAAGUUAGGGGCGCGAACCGGAUUAGAUACCCGGGUAGUCCUAACUGUAAACGAUGCGGACUUGGUGUUGGGGUGGCUUUGAGCUGCUCCAGUGCCGAAGGGAAGCUGUUAAGUCCGCCGCCUGGGAAGUACGGUCGCAAGACUGAAACUUAAAGGAAUUGGCGGGGGAGCACCGCAACGCGUGGAGCCUGCGGUUUAAUUGGAUUCAACGCCGGACAUCUCACCAGAGGCGACAGCUGUAUGAUAGCCAGGUUGAUGACUUUGCUUGACUAGCUGAGAGGAGGUGCAUGGCC